AUCUGUGUCUGGUGAGGGCCCUCCUCCUGGUUUGCAAGUGGCUGCCUUCUUCCUGUACCCUCACAUGCUCUCCUUCUUCUCAGAAACCCCUGGGUUCUUCACAGAUUCUCGCACGUCCAGACGCUGAGCCACCCCGCACCUAGGAUGCUAUGUGGAAGCCGAAGCCACACCUCCCACAUGGCCCCUCUGGCCAGCCGGGCAUCUCAGGUGAGAACUGCACACAGGCCCGCAGCAGCAGCUCCACCGCCAGCAGCAGCACCCUCUCUGCAGUUGGCUCUCCUGCUGCUGUGCCCUUGCAGCCAGGUCUGAUGCCCAGAUGGCAACCAUAGCAGUUGGCGUGGCUGUGGGCUCUGCUGUGGGGCACACAUUAGGUCAUGCCAUCACUGGAGGCUUCCAUGGAGGAAGUAAUGCUGAGCCUUGCAAGGCCCCACAUCGCUUAUCAGGAGCCUCAGGGAACCCAGCCGGCACAGGGGCAGGCUUACUUAUAUGAGAUAAAGCCGUUUUUGGAAUAUGCUCAGAACCUGAGUGACAUAAAUCUCUGUAAGAGUUUCGAUGAGGUGCUGAAACAGUGCAGACUUGCAAAUGAGUUGGCCAAA
rnacentral:lncRNA from 1 species